rnacentral:rRNA from 1 species
AUUGAACGCUGGCGGCAGGCCUAACACAUGCAAGUCGAGCGGUAGAGAGGUGCUUGCAUCUCUUGAGAGCGGCGGACGGGUGAGUAAUGCCUAGGAAUCUGCCUAGUGGUGGGGGAUAACGUUCGGAAACGGACGCUAAUACCGCAUACGUCCUACGGGAGAAAGCGGGGGAUCUUCGGACCUCGCGCCAUUAGAUGAGCCUAGGUCGGAUUAGCUAGUUGGUGAGGUAAUGGCUCACCAAGGCGACGAUCCGUAACUGGUCUGAGAGGAUGAUCAGUCACACUGGAACUGAGACACGGUCCAGACUCCUACGGGAGGCAGCAGUGGGGAAUAUUGGACAAGUGGGACGGAAAGACCUGAUCCAGCCAUGCCGCGUGUGUGAAGAAGGUCUUCGG